rnacentral:rRNA from 1 species
UACAGAGGGUGCGAGCGUUAAUCGGAAUUACUGGGCGUAAAGCGUGCGUAGACGGUUAUGUAAGUCGGGUGUGAAAGCCCCGGGCUCAACCUGGGAAUUGCAUUCGAGACUGCAUAGCUAGGAUGCGGAAGAGGGAAGUGGAAUUUCCGGUGUAGCGGUGAAAUGCGUAGAGAUGGGGGAGAACACUCGUGGCGAAGGCGGCCAGCUGGACCAGUUCUGACACUGAGGCGCGACAGCGUGGGGAGCAAACAGG